GUCGAGCGGACAGAAGGGAGCUUGCUCCCGGAUGUUAGCGGCGGACGGGUGAGUAACACGUGGGUAACCUGCCUGUAAGACUGGGAUAACUCCGGGAAACCGGAGCUAAUACCGGAUAGUUCCUUGAACCGCAUGGUUCAAGGAUGAAAGACGGUUUCGGCUGUCACUUACAGAUGGACCCGCGGCGCAUUAGCUAGUUGGUGAGGUAACGGCUCACCAAGGCGACGAUGCGUAGCCGACCUGAGAGGGUGAUCGGCCACACUGGGACUGAGACACGGCCCAGACUCCUACGGGAGGCAGCAGUAGGGAAUCUUCCGCAAUGGACGAAAGUCUGACGGAGCAACGCCGCGUGAGUGAUGAAGGUUUUCGGAUCGUAAAGCUCUGUUGUUAGGGAAGAACAAGUGCAAGAGUAACUGCUUGCACCUUGACGGUACCUAACCAGAAAGCCACGGCUAACUACGUGCCAGCAGCCGCGGUAAUACGUAGGUGGCAAGCGUUGUCCGGAAUUAUUGGGCGUAAAGGGCUCGCAGGCGGUUUCUUAAGUCUGAUGUGAAAGCCCCCGGCUCAACCGGGGAGGGUCAUUGGAAACUGGGAAACUUGAGUGCAGAAGAGGAGAGUGGAAUUCCACGUGUAGCGGUGAAAUGCGUAGAGAUGUGGAGGAACACCAGUGGCGAAGGCGACUCUCUGGUCUGUAACUGACGCUGAGGAGCGAAAGCGUGGGGAGCGAACAGGAUUAGAUACCCUGGUAGUCCACGCCGUAAACGAUGAGUGCUAAGUG
rnacentral:rRNA from 1 species